CUGAUUGAACGUGCUUGCACGGAAUUGACGUUGGAUUACCAGUGAGUGGCGGACGGGUGAGUAACACGUAGGUAACCUGCCCCGGAGCGGGGGAUAACAUUUGGAAACAGAUGCUAAUACCGCAUAACAACUUGAAUCACAUGGUUUUUGUUUAAAAGAUGGCUUCGGCUAUCACUUUGGGAUGGACCUGCGGUGCAUUAGCUUGUUGGUAAGGUAACGGCUUACCAAGGCUGUGAUGCGUAGCCGAGUUGAGAGACUGAUCGGCCACAAUGGAACUGAGACACGGUCCAUACUCCUACGGGAGGCAGCAGUAGGGAAUCUUCCACAAUGGGCGCAAGCCUGAUGGAGCAACACCGCGUGAGUGAAGAAGGGUUUCGGCUCGUAAAGCUCUGUUGUUGGAGAAGAACGUGCGUGAGAGUAACUGUUCACGCAGUGACGGUAUCUAACCAGAAAGUCACGGCUAACUACGUGCCAGCAGCCGCGGUAAUACGUAGGUGGCAAGCGUUAUCCGGAUUUAUUGGGCGUAAAGCGAGCGCAGGCGGUUGGAUAAGUCUGAUGUGAAAGCCUUCGGCUUAACCGAAGAAGUGCAUCGGAAACUGGCCGACUUGAGUGCAGAAGAGGACAGUGGAACUCUGGGGAAAAGGGGGGGAAAAA
rnacentral:rRNA from 1 species